rfam:Oryza sativa (indica cultivar-group) chromosome 5, whole genome shotgun sequence.
AAAGACUCAAUUCUUGGGUCUUAGUGUUCAACGUUUGAUCAUCCGUCUUACAUGAAAUUUUUUUUAUGAUUAGUAUUUUUAUUAUUGUUAGAUGAUAAAAUAAGAAUAAUACUUUAUGUAUGACUUAUCUUUUUAAAUUUUUUCAUAACUUUUUUAAAUAAGACGAGCGGUUAAACGUUAUACGCGAAAACCCAGGAAUUGAGUUUUU